CCUGCGGAGGUCAUUA
rnacentral:rRNA from 2 species